rnacentral:hammerhead_ribozyme from 1 species
GCACUGUUGAGGAAUCCCAUACCAGGACGAAACGGCCGUCCAGUGC